AUAGACCCUAUGAAGCAAGACCAAACAUAUAAGCCGUAAAUACUAUACAUAGCCACAAGGGGAGCAGGACCUUACUAAAAGCUGCAAUAACAGCUCCAUCCACAGAGGGCAGCACCAGACAGGUAAGGAGGCCGAGGGUAAUACGUCACCCCGGCUCCUCCCACUACUUCCGGGCUUGCGGAUCCAUACCAUAACAGAUGGUUGGAGCCAGAGCAAGCCAGAAUUCUUCUGGCAGCUAUUUGGACAGGGUUAAGGUCUAUUGAUCAGCUAGGAGAACGCUUGCACGUGCUUAGACACAUCUUCAAUCUCUCUUUGCUUCAGAGUAUCAGUUUACCAUACCGAAAAUACGAGAUACCAAAUAAACUCUCUUAAAAGCUAUUCCUUUGGAUUUGACCACUUUCCUUGAAGAACUACGUAAUACUGUGUCUCAGGGAUGCCGGAGGAAGGAAUGGGAGGGCAAAAUUGUUGAUACGGAUCAAUGUGUGUAAGGAUUGGGCAUACCUGAGCGCACAAGGUUACGGGGUGAACCCCGUUCUUAUGGAGAUGGGGUGUGACAGCCCUCUGGCACCUCCUGAUUGAGUGAUCGUGAAAUGGCUGUAAUGGCCAACACCCAUGCGGGCUGAGCUCCUCAGCUAUAUAAACUGUAGGAGUCAGUCACUUGCUCUCUCUCUCUCCUUUGGCGUAUGGUUUGUUUAGGGUUUUUGGUUAACUUUGCUUUGCACAUACAUCGCAUUCGCCACUCAUCCACACACAGCACUGAUUGAUUAACAUGCAUCACUUUAACUUACUUUACGUUAAGUUGGUUAAAUAAACUAUGAUUGUUAAACUUAAA